rnacentral:rRNA from 1 species
UUGUCCGGAAUUACUGGGUGUAAAGGGAGCGUAGGCGGGACGGCAAGUCAGAUGUGAAAUACAUGGGCUCAACCCAUGGGCUGCAUUUGAAACUGCUGUUCUUGAGUGAAGUAGAGGUAAGCGGAAUUCCUGGUGUAGCGGUGAAAUGCGUAGAUAUCAGGAGGAACACCGGUGGCGAAGGCGGCUUACUGGGCUUUUACUGACGCUGAGGCUCGAAAGCGUGGGGAGCAAACAGGAUUAGAUACCCUGGUAGUCCACGCUGUAAACGAUGAUUACUAGGUGUGGGGGGACUGACCCCUUCCGUGCCGCAGUUAGCACAAUAAGUAAUCCACCUGGGGAAUACGGCCUCCAAGUUGAAUCUCAAAGGAAUUGACGGGGGCCC